rnacentral:tRNA from 1 species
GCCUUAGUAGUAUAAAAAUUACAUUGGUCUUGUAAACCAAAAAUGGAGUACUAUCCUCCCUAAGACA